GACGAACGCUGGCGGCGUGCUUAACACAUGCAAGUCGAACGGAAAGGCCCUGCAUUUGUGGGGUGCUCGAGUGGCGAACGGGUGAGUAACACGUGAGUAACCUGCCCUUGACUUUGGGAUAACUUCAGGAAACUGGGGCUAAUACCGGAUAGGAGCUCCUGCUGCAUGGUGGGGGUUGGAAAGUUUCGGCGGUUGGGGAUGGACUCGCGGCUUAUCAGCUUGUUGGUGGGGUAGUGGCUUACCAAGGCUUUGACGGGUAGCCGGCCUGAGAGGGUGACCGGCCACAUUGGGACUGAGGUACGGCCCAGACUCCUACGGGAGGCAGCAGUGGGGAAUAUUGCACAAUGGGCGGAAGCCUGAUGCAGCAACGCCGCGUGCGGGAUGACGGCCUUCGGGUUGUAAACCGCUUUCGCCUGUGACGAAGCGUGAGUGACGGUAAUGGGUAAAGAAGCACCGGCUAACUACGUG
rnacentral:rRNA from 1 species